AAGCAUGAAUUUAAAUGAGCUCAAUGGUUCCGCUCUUUAUUGCCCAAUUCGAAAUCUCCAGUGAUAAUAAUCGGCCCAUGCCACCGAAUAAAAAAGUCCGUGAAUUCCUUAAAAGGAACAUUUGCAUGCAGGAGCCCUGCAGCCAGCCGCAGACUCCAGGAGGUCGACACAACGUGCCACGGACUGGACAGGUGACGGUUAUCAUAAAAAUGUAGAGCAGUGCAAAAUAUAUAUCCACACCGCUAUCCAAUUCAACGUUAAGCAGAGAAACGACAAGUUUGACGAAUGCCUUUGACCACUACGUCUGGCCAGCGGUCUUUGAUUUUGGGAGCUACCAGAACCCGUGUUUUGCUCUUUCUUUGUAUGCGUUCUCGUAUCGCACUGUUGGUCAUUCCAGCUAGCCAACAAUUCCCCAGGCUUUAUAAUGAGUGCGGUCCAUCAUGGCCUUGGUCGCCAUAACUGUCCAACGUCUAUAAUGUAAGGCGAAAGACGGGUGUCAACCUGGCCCAACACAACACUGCCGCCCCGAGGGUCGCCUCGAAUCACCGCCUCGAUGUGAUGAGACACGGCCGGGCUGUAAGGACGCCAGCGACCGUGUUCGUUCAGCCAUUCCCACACGACCACAGCAGACGCAAGCAACAUCGUAACCCUGAAAGCACACAAUCGUUGAUUGAAAUAAGAAUCAUUGCCUGGCUAAUG